rnacentral:rRNA from 1 species
GAUCAUGGCUCAGGAUGAACGCUGGCGGCGUGCUUAACACAUGCAAGUCGAACGAAGCACUUAUCUUUGAUUCUUCGGAUGAAGAGGUUUGUGACUGAGUGGCGGACGGGUGAGUAACGCGUGGGUAACCUGCCUCAUACAGGGGGAUAACAGUUAGAAACGGCUGUUAAUACCGCAUAAGCGCACAGUACCGCAUGGUACAGUGUGAAAAACUCCGGUGGUAUGAGAUGGACCCGCG